rnacentral:snRNA from 1 species
GAACCGUUAAAUCAACGGCUG